AGCUCAGCUGGAUAGAGCAACAGCCUUCUAAGCUGUGGGUCUUGGGUUCGAAUCCCAAC
rnacentral:tRNA from 1 species